rnacentral:pre_miRNA from 1 species
CGGGAAUUCGAUUAUCCACAUUGUAUGCGCUGUGUGUACAAUGCAGGCGCACAGUGUGUACAAUGCAGGAAUGCAGGA